AAAAGCCAAAACCUAGCCUUCUCUUCCUGGUUCUUCCUGAAGUCAGGAAAAGCUGGGUUGAGAGGAUGAAAUAUAAUAAUAA
rnacentral:pre_miRNA from 10 species